rnacentral:rRNA from 1 species
GACGAACGCUGGCGGCGUGCCUAAUACAUGCAAGUAGAACGCUGAAGGAGGAGCUUGCUCUUCUGGAUGAGUUGCGAACGGGUGAGUAACGCGUAGGUAACCUGCCUGGUAGCGGGGGAUAACUAUUGGAAACGAUAGCUAAUACCGCAUAAGAGUAGAUGUUGCAUGACAUUUGCUUAAAAGGUGCAAUUGCAUCACUACCAGAUGGACCUGCGUUGUAUUAGCUAGUUGGUGGGGUAACGGCUCACCAAGGCGACGAUACAUAGCCGACCUGAGAGGGUGAUCGGCCACACUGGGACUGAGACACGGCCCAGACUCCUACGGGAGGCAGCAGUAGGGAAUCUUCGGCAAGGGACGGAAGUCUGACCGAGCAACGCCGCGGGAGUGAAGAAGGGUUUCGGAUCGUAAAGCUCUGUUGUAAGAGAAGAACGAGUGUGAGAGUGGAAAGUUCACACUGUGACGGUAGCUUACCAGAAAGGGACGGCUAACUACGUG